rnacentral:rRNA from 1 species
GACGAACGCUGGCGGCGUGCCUAAUACAUGCAAGUAGAACGCUGAAGAGAGGAGCUUGCUCUUCUUGGAUGAGUUGCGAACGGGUGAGUAACGCGUAGGUAACCUGCCUUGUAGCGGGGGAUAACUAUUGGAAACGAUAGCUAAUACCGCAUAACAAUGUAUGACACAUGUCAUUUAUUUGAAAGGGGCAAUUGCUCCACUACAAGAUGGACCUGCGUUGUAUUAGCUAGUAGGUGAGGUAAUGGCUCACCUAGGCGACGAUACAUAGCCGACCUGAGAGGGUGAUCGGCCACACUGGGACUGGGACACGGCCCAGACUCCUACGGGAGGCAGCAGUAGGGAAUCUUCGGCAAUGGGGGCAACCCUGACCGAGCAACGCCGCGUGAGUGAAGAAGGUUUUCGGAUCGUAAAGAUCUGUUGUAAGUCAAGAACGGGUGUGAGAGUGGAAAGUUCACACUGUGACGGUAGCUUACCAGAAAGGGACGGCUAACUACGUG